AUACCUUUCUCGGCCUUUUGGCUAAGAUCAAGUGUAGUAUCUGUUCUUAUCAGUUUAAUAUCUGAUAUGUGAGCCAAUGGUUCACACGAUAUUAACUAAAUUUUUUUAGGGGAAAGGUCCAUUGAGGUAGCUUGCUGCCUGGCUCUUUGAGUGUCGCCUUGGUUUUUUCACUAUUGCCUUGGCCUGGCACACCCCUC
rnacentral:snRNA from 1 species